rnacentral:lncRNA from 1 species
UAUGGUGACCUGAUUCGGCGGACCAACCAGACGAUGAAACAAGUGAUGCGGUUAUUAUACUAUGGACAAUACAUUUUUCUGUAGAUGGACAAGAUUCGGUGAACCAAUUUUGGUCGACUAGUUAUGGCGGAUCAGAUGUAAUGGACCAGAUAUUGUGGACGAGAUUUUUUUUUUUUUUGUCUAUCGUUUUUUGUCUCUGCUCCUUCACCACCCACAACUUCCACAAAAUCUCUCUACUUGUCCUCUAUUAGCACCCACCAAUUUGUACAGAUCUGGUUUAUA